AACGAACGCUGGCGGCAGGCCUAACACAUGCAAGUCGAGCGAACCCUUCGGGGUUAGCGGCGGACGGGUUAGUAACGCGUGGGAAUAUACCCUUUGGUACGGAAUAGCCUCGGGAAACUGAGAGUAAUACCGUAUGUGCCCUUCGGGGGAAAGAUUUAUCGCCAAAGGAUUAGCCCGCGUUGGAUUAGAUAGUUGGUGGGGUAAUGGCCUACCAAGUCUACGAUCCAUAGCUGGUUUGAGAGGAUGAUCAGCAACACUGGGACUGAGACACGGCCCAGACUCCUACGGGAGGCAGCAGUGGGGAAUCUUAGACAAUGGGCGCAAGCCUGAUCUAGCCAUGCCGCGUGGACGAUGAAGGCCUUAGGGUUGUAAAGUCCUUUCAGAUGGGAAGAUAAUGACGGUACCAUCAGAAGAAGCCCCGGCUAACUCCGUGCCAG
rnacentral:rRNA from 1 species